AUGUCUCCUUUAAAGGAGCUGCGUGGUUUCCCUCUUCAAGCUACACCCACCAACACAAAGUUUGUGCACUUUCCUAACUUCUUUCCUAUUGAUUCCCUCCAUUCAUUACAGGGAGUGAAAAUGAUCCCUUGGUUGAAUUUGGUGUCCAUAUUAGUGUUCAUUCAAGGAGUCCAAUCUCAAGUCCAGUUGGUGGAGUCUGGAGGGGAUGUGAGAAGAUCUGGAGAAUCCCUCCAUCUCUCUUGCAAAGCCUCUGGAUUCUCCUUCAGCAAUUAUGAGAUGUUCUGGGUUAGACAGUUUCCUGGGAAAGGAUGGGAAUGGGUGGCCUUCAUGAGUACAUCCUCAACUCGAAUUAUCUACCCAGACAAAGUCAAGGGACGCUUCACAAUCUCUAGGGAUGAUUCUCGCAGCCAGCUGUAUCUGCAAAUGAACAGCCUCAAACUAGAGGAUUCUGCAGUUUAUUACUGUGCGAGGGACACAGUGAGAGGAAGUGAAUCGGAUGCCAAGACCGUUUUUGCCUAUAUGCAGUUUUCCAAAUUGAAUCAGAAAGUCGAAUUUGUAUAUUUAAACUGA